rnacentral:rRNA from 1 species
AUUGAACGCUGGCGGCAGGCUUAACACAUGCAAGUCGAGCGGAGAUGAGGUGCUUGCACCUUAUCUUAGCGGCGGACGGGUGAGUAAUGCUUAGGAAUCUGCCUAUUAGUGGGGGACAACAUUCCGAAAGGAAUGCUAAUACCGCAUACGUCCUACGGGAGAAAGCAGGGGAUCUUCGGACCUUGCGCUAAUAGAUGAGCCUAAGUCGGAUUAGCUAGUUGGUGGGGUAAAAGCCUACCAAGGCGACGAUCUGUAGCGGGUCUGAGAGGAUGAGCCGCCACACUGGGACUGAGACACGGCCCCAACUCCUACUGGAGGCAGCAGUGGGGAAUAUUGGACAGUGGGGGGAACCCUGAUCCAGCCAUGCCGCGUGUGUGAAGAAUGCCUUAUGGUUGUAAAGCACUUUAAGCGAGGAGGAGGCUACUGAGACUAAUACUCUUGGAUAGUGGACGUUACUCGCAGAAUAAGCACCGGCUAACUCUGUGCCAGCCGCCGCGGUAACAC